rnacentral:tRNA from 1 species
GGGCACAUAGCUCAGCGGUAGAGCACCACUCUUAUAAAGUGGGGGUCCUUGGUUCGAAUCCAAGUGUGCCCACCA